GAGCGUGCGACUUCUACUGCGGCUGCGCAAGCUGGACGCGCGCAGUCUUGUCUGCUUACGAGGGCUCCUCCCUUCAUCUUUGGUCCCUCGGGGCGUCUGGGCAGCCUACGCUUUCCGACUGGAAUCAGCCAUUUUACCAAGAAAGUUGGGUUUCUUUUACUGGCAAAUAGUACUUCAAGAGCACAGUCUUAUGUGAGCAUGACCCAUCCGCCUGGCACCAGCACCUGGGGCUGCCAGGCAGCCACCCCUGCAGCUGUGUUGACAGGGCCUGGCAGAGGGACUGACCCACCUUUGGAAAAUGACACCAGCAAUAUCAGGAUGUGUCAACUGGAUUUAUGUUAAGAAAAUAGGAUUUUUGGCGUUCCUCUGUUUCCCAAAGUUUGAGACACUUUCAGACACUCUGCUUUGCGGUUGUGGCCGAUGUUACCCAUGGGUGGGACUUUUGCUUUGCUCUAGAUUUUUGUAAUACCCUGGGGAGUUUCAGGGGCCAAUGCUGAGAGAAGACCACAGGCUGACGCAUCAUGAGGUAUGUUGGUAAAACAGUCCCGGCUGGCCGAGAGGC
rnacentral:antisense_RNA from 1 species